AUUGAACGCUGGCGGCAUGCCUUACACAUGCAAGUCGAACGGCAGCACGGGAGCAAUCCUGGUGGCGAGUGGCGAACGGGUGAGUAAAGUAUCGGAACGUGCCCAGUCGUGGGGGAUAACGUAGCGAAAGUUACGCUAAUACCGCAUACGAUCUAUGGAUGAAAGCAGGGGAUCGCAAGACCUCGCGCGAUUGGAGCGGCCGAUAUCAGAGUAGGUAGUUGGUGGGGUAAAGGCUCACCAAGCCGACGAUCUGGAGCUGGUCUGAGAGGACGACCAGCCACACUGGGACUGGGGCACGGCCCAGACUCCUACGGGAGGCAGCAGUGGGGAAUUUUGGACAAUGGGCGAAAGCCUGAUCCAGCCAUGCCGCGUGCAGGAUGAAGGCCUUCGGGUUGUAAGCUGCUUUUGUACGGAACGAAAAGGUUUGGCCUAAUAAGCUGAGCUCAUGACGGUACCGUAAGAAUAAGCACCGGCUAACUACGUGCCAGCCGCCGCAGUAACAC
rnacentral:rRNA from 1 species